rnacentral:rRNA from 1 species
GGCGAACGCUGGCGGCGUGCCUAAUACAUGCAAGUCGAACGCACUCUCGUUUAGAUUGAAGGAGCUUGCUCCUGAUUGAUAAACAUUUGAGUGAGUGGCGGACGGGUGAGUAACACGUGGGUAACCUGCCCUAAAGUGGGGGAUAACAUUUGGAAACAGAUGCUAAUACCGCAUAAAACCUAACACCGCAUGGUGUAGGGUUGAAAGAUGGUGUCGGCUAUCACUUUAGGAUGGACCCGCGGUGCAUUAGUUAGUUGGUGAGGUAAAGGCUCACCAAGACCGUGAUGCAUAGCCGACCUGAGAGGGUAAUCGGCCACACUGGGACUGAGACACGGCCCAGACUCCUACGGGAGGCAGCAGUAGGGAAUCUUCCACAAUGGACGAAAGUCUGAUGGAGCAACGCCGCGUGAGUGAAGAAGGUUUUCGGAUCGUAAAACUCUGUUGUUGGAGAAGAAUGUAUCUGAUAGUAACUGAUCAGGUAGUGACGGUAUCCAACCAGAAAGCCG